rnacentral:lncRNA from 1 species
CUUCCGGGUCAGCCAGUUGGCGGCCUGGGCGUGGCGUUAGCUAGGGUUGGUGGCCUUCCAGUGAGUGGAGAAGUUCGCCUCCGCGCGGGUAACGGACUUUCUAAGCGUCAGAGAAGAUGCUGGACAUUUGUUUGCAAAGUUCUCUCAGGCCUCCGAUUUUCUUAUUUUAAGUUUUAGGCGAAACCUCAAGACACACUCCCAGAGAGUCAGACACCUUCCUGAACCCCCCCAGCAAGGUCCCCGGGCAUUCCUGAAGGAAUGUUCAACUGAGGAUGCAGGGCCUCUUAACAGUUAGUCCCGGGCGUUUUUCAGAGCUUGUCUGCUUUAUUUUCCCAGCCUGAGAGAUGAAGAGGUCCAGAGGCAUUGCGGCGGAGCGAGUCCCUAUUUGACCGUGCUGCUGGUUUUCACCAUGAUUGUGAGCUGUUCAUUUUCAAGGUGCUGAAUAGCUGAGAAGGAAGAAUAGGAAUAGGGUACCUGGUGCACCACCAGUCUGAAACCACCUUUAACCAAGUUCACAGUUUGGGUUCCCUGGAUGUCUUAGUCCGUUUAUGCUGGUAAAACAGAAUACCACAAACUGGAAUUUAACAGAAACAAGUUCGAAGAAAAACCAUGUAAAAGCCUGCAAUGAUAUUUUCACCUUUUUUGUGGAAAGAAAUAGAUACAGAAUUGGUAGUAUUUACUAUUAUGGCAUUUUGCUUUUGAAGGAGAAGAACCUGUAUGGUCAUGAAAAUCCACCAAAAAAUAAAAAAUACAAAUGACUAUGCGAGAUUUGCCAGUUAAACACAGUUUUUUAAAAUGAAGAGGACAUCUAAUAAAGGGGAAAUAUGUUCAUACAUCUUAAUGACUUACCAUUAAAAGUACCAGUUUAAAAGAAGAAAAUGAACACCACCACAGAUGGCUUAAUUUUACCCCUCGAACAUUGUUCUUUUUGCCAUAUGGAAUCACGCAUGAAAAGCAGCUCAUUCUGCAGUCUAUAAUAGUCCUACCAAAAGGGAAGCCUUAACAGAACAAUAUGUAUUAAUAAGAAACACAAACACAGAAUUGCUUAAUAUUUUGAUUUAUGUUUUUGGCUUCAAAAUUGUUGCCUUGGGAGUGCUUUUGAUAUCUGUGAAUAUCCCUUCAUUCUAAGGGGAUAAGAAAUACUAUGGCUAUGGAUGACACUCUCUCUGUAACCAGGCAAAGAUAGCAUAAUUUUCUAGUGUUGUACUUUGCGAAAGAGCAGCUGUAAAUAUUCAGGGGUAUCUUGCUUUAUGUAAUAGAAUAUCUCUGAAAAGCCUGGUUACAUGUAACUCAGCCAUUACAUUCAAAAAAUAUCUUAAAUGUAGUAUGGGAAAGCUAAA